rnacentral:rRNA from 1 species
UACGUAGGGGGCUAGCGUUGUCCGGAAUCAUUGGGCGUAAAGAGCGUGUAGGCGGCCCGGUAAGUCCGCUGUGAAAGUCGGGGGCUCAACCCUCGAAUGCCGGUGGAUACUGUCGGGCUAGAGUCCGGAAGAGGCGAGUGGAACUCCUGGUGUAGCGGUGGAAUGCGCAGAUAUCAGGAAGAACACCAACGGCGAAGGCAGCUCGCUGGGACGGUACUGACGCUGAGACGCGAAAGCGUGGGGAGCGAACAGG